UACAAACUACUGCAGAUUAUCUACCAUUAGACGUGGAAACGAUAACCAUGAAAAUUUAUUAUUACUUCUACAUCUACACCGUUCGCGUGGAAUCUUUAAAAGAAUUCUGCGAAUUUGCCAAUGUAGAAUACAACAGAAUUUUGGGAUAUGGAAAGACCAGAUGGUUAUUUCUUAUGCCUGCGGUGAAUAGACUACUCAAGUUAUUUCCUGGCUUAAAAUCAUAUUUCUUGUCUCAAGAGAAGUGACUGUGAAAUGUGGCCUGCUAAAGUGCACCAUUUCCCUUUUGUGUCUUUCAAGUAUUCAGUAAUGAAAAUAAUUUUCAGGAAGGAAGAAUACACCAGUUUCACUCAUGCAUAGAUUCCUUUUUGUUCUCUGGUUCUUAACUUUAUUUCUGUAACCCCUCUACGACAGGUCACCCAGAACCCACUGUGACCUGGGAAAGGGUGUUAAAGUGUUAACUAAUCACUGAUGAUGAUUAGUUCAGCAUCAACAGACUACAGACAACCAAAAUCUGAAAGCAGGGGAACAGUGGUACACUCUCAAGGUGAAAAAUGUGCAGGCUAAUGAUUUUAUUGACAACUAUUGCAUCAGCACAAAUAUCAAGGGCACCAUUUCUUCAAAAAUUAUAUUGUUUGAAACUCCCGACUGCCAGGGCGGGCCCAAACUGCCCUUUGCUGCCAACCUCCAGCUCCAGUAUCAUCAUAUCUCAUCGCCUUACCAUCAGCUGUGUUGCUGAUUAGAAGCAUUCAUGUGGCUCUUUGA